rnacentral:rRNA from 1 species
AUUGAACGCUGGCGGCAUGCUUUACACAUGCAAGUCGAACGGCAACGAGGAGAAGCUUGCUUCUCUGUCGGCGAGUGGCGAACGGGUGAGUAUAGCAUCGGAACGUGCCAAGUUGUGGGGGAUAACCAAACGAAAGUUUGGCUAAUACCGCGUAAGCCCCAAGGAGGAAAGUAGGGGACCUAAAUAAGGCCUUACGCGAUUUGAUCGGCCGAUGUCGGAUUAGCUAGUUGGUGGGGUAAUGGCUCACCAAGGCAAUGAUCCGUAGCGGGUCUGAGAGGACGAUACGCCACACUGGGACUGAGACACGGCCCAGACUCCUACGGGAGGCAGCAGUGGGGAAUUUUGGACAAUGGGGGAAACCCUGAUCCAGCCAUGCCGCGUGUAUGAAGAAGGCCUUAGGGUUGUAAAGUACUUUUGUUAGGGAAGAAAAGCUAGUUUUUAAUAAAAAUUAGUGAUGACGGUACCUAAAGAAUAAGCACCGGCUAACUACGUG